GGUCGGAGCGCGCGGCGGCGGUGGCAGCGGCGGCGGUGGCGGCGGCGGUAGCGGCGGACAGACAGACCGAGGAUCGACGCACAGACCCAAAGAUUCUGGAGCUUGGGAGCUGGCAGCAUUGCUGUGCGCGCCGCCUGGCCUGAGGGGUGGCCACCUUGCCAUGUCGCUCGGCACCCACUGAACUAGGAAAGCCCAAGGAUGUCCGCUCUGAGGAAGGCUUUCCCACCAUCUGAGGCCCGACCAUAGUGCUACGUGAUUUCACAGCAGCUUGCGAACCCCAGCCUGCACCCUGCCAGCCAUAAUGGGGACGGCUCAGGUUCUGCCCGGCAUCCUGCAGAAGCAUUGCUGCAUCUUACCAGACAGGAACACAGAGUCUCAGUGUACCCUUUGUGGAGAGCCGGAAGGUGAGUACCUCACUUCUGCUCUAGUGGGCGGGGCACCGUCGUGUCUCAUGAGUUGGAUUGGUGGUGAGGACGAAUUUCUGCAAUGGGCGCGUUAGACAGCUUUGAAGCUGAAAGUUGAUUCUUUGUGGUAGUUGAUGGGACAUGUGAGUGAAACAAAACCGAGCUCCUGGGUAUCAGGAGUGUCCCUCUGAUGUGAAAUCAACAUGGCAACCCAUUGGC